AAUAUCAUUGUAUGCGGACGAUAUUUUACUUACGUGAAAUAUUUCGUCUUUAACGGUAAUCAAAGUAUUUACAACUGUCGAGAUGAUAUUUUAUCGCACGCGUAUUACUAUCGUAGUUUUGAUACAAAUAUUAAUAAUUUUCAUUCGGGAAUCUGCGUGCUUAGACAAUCAGCGAGUGCCGCGAUUGACCUCGAUGCCAGCAAUAAAACGCAUGAUGGCGGAUAAUGCGAAUAAUAUGAGAAUGAUGACAUUAAGUCGACCGGAAACAGCGUUAUUCGGCCUGAAAUUAUCGCCUCCGCACCGCAUUAAAUCUCAACCUGAGGUAGAUCUAGAAAUCGCCAUAAAUAUGCAUUACGAACAUACGAGAAGAUCAACUAAUGAUGUAGAAAAUAACAGUCAUAUCAAUAGCAUCAUGAUUAAUAUCUUGAUGGGACCGAUGGACGUGUUAGAACGGUUUCAAAACAUUUUAAACCGUAUAUUGCAACUGCUGUACAGUUUCUACACAUCGAAGUUCACCCACAAAAACAUAAUCAGAUUCGUGUUGAAACAAAACAAAAACGAUAAUCAUAUAGUAAAAUUUAAAACCGAGUAUUUAGACAUCGUGUGCUCAUAUAUACCUCGAAUUUUGGAUUAUUUGUACAUAAGCCACAUCCCUAAAAACAUUGAAUAUUUCUAUUUAAACAAAUUUCAUUGCACGCUUUGUUACAGGAUGCUUAAUUUCGUAAAAAAAAACUGUACCGCCACCGACUCAGGUUACAUGAUAUGUACAACCAGAAAAGUGCAGGAAAUAUAUUCGAACAUCUUAUCGUAUUUGAAUCGCGACGACUUUCCUAAGGAGUCAAAUUACCAUGAAAUUGACAAAAUGUUUAUUAAAAGUGCGUACGAACACAUAAGCAAAAUCGAUAGGACAUUGAUAAUUGACUAUGCGCAUGUCGAGUUCAAUAUAUUUAAAGACGUGAAUAAGAGGUUUCACAAUGCUAUCAUACAGACAGCGGAUCCAAA